AUGCUUGUUUCAGCAGCACAUGUAUUAACACUGGAAUGAUACAGAGAAGAUUAGCACAAUUCCUGUGUGAGGAUGAUAUAUGCAAAUUCAUGAAGUGUUCCAUAAUUUU
ensembl:snRNA U6 U6 spliceosomal RNA